rnacentral:lncRNA from 1 species
CACUGGCCCCUCUCGAAUCUACUUCGAACGAAACCCCCACCUUUAGAAUUCGUCGGAAGAUUUGGCCGAAAAGCCUGCCCCAUCGAACCUACCUUGGACCAGCCCGCGCCCUUAGAUCUCGUCGGAAAAACUUGCCCGCAUUCGUCGUUCUCGCUAGAAAACCGUGGUUGAAGGACGCAAGGGCUGAAAAUCCUCAUUAUCGACGAAUGCCAGAGGGGUGGGGUUCUUCAAGAACUUUGCGGCGACAAAGAGAAAUUGGCGAUGGAGGAUGAGAUACUCAUGAAGGCGAAGAGGGAAUAACCUCUGCUACGGACGGUAUCACCGACGAGAAGAGUGGAGGAGGCGGUUGGUGGAAGGAAAGGGGAGGCGGUGGAAGAAGAAAUUUGGGGAAGAAGACGAUGAAUUCCUUC